rnacentral:rRNA from 1 species
GACAGAGGAUGCAAGCGUUAUCCGGAAUGAUUGGGCGUAAAGCGUCUGUAGGUGGCUUUUCAAGUCCGCCGUCAAAUCCCAGGGCUCAACCCUGGACAGGCGGUGGAAACUACCAAGCUGGAGUACGGUAGGGGCAGAGGGAAUUUCCGGUGGAGCGGUGAAAUGCGUAGAGAUCCGGAGGAACACCAAAGGCGAAGGCAGUGUCCUGGGGAGUACCUGACGCUCAGGUGCGAAAGCCAGGGGAGCGAACGGG